rnacentral:rRNA from 1 species
UACGGGGGGGGCAAGCGUUGUUCGGAAUUACUGGGCGUAAAGGGCUCGUAGGCGGCCAACUAAGUCAGACGUGAAAUCCCCUCGGCUUAACCGGGGAACUGCGUCUGAUACUGGAUGGCUUGAGUUCGGGAGAGGGAUGCGGAAUUCCAGGUGUAGCGGUGAAAUGCGCAGAUAUCAGGAGGAACACCGGUGGCGAAGGCGGUUCUCUGGGCAUUACCUGACGCUGGAGGAGCGAAAGUGUGGGGAGCGAACAGG